UACAGAGGGUGCGAGCGUUAAUCGGAAUUACUGGGCGUAAAGCGCGCGUAGACGGUUUUUGUAAGUCAGAUGUGAAAUCCCUGGGCUCAACCUGGGAACUGCAUUUGAGACUGCAUGGCUAGAGUAUCGAAGAGGGAAGUGGAAUUUCCGGUGUAGCGGUGAAAAUGCGUAGAUAUCGGAAGGAACACCAGUGGCGAAAAGCGACUUCCUGGUCGAAUACUGACGUUCAUGUGCGAAAGCGUGGGGAGCAAACAGG
rnacentral:rRNA from 1 species